rnacentral:sRNA from 1 species
UUCGGGAACCUGGGCCGGGUCCAGAGUGUGGACGUGUGUGUCAAGCCCACCGGCUGUGACAAUUUUGUUUUCAGCCCCGAUCACGUCGGUAUUGGCACCAAUGAUGAUGUCCACAUCAUCCAUGAUGUCUGGAUUUCCGGCACGUCCAAUGGCUGUUAUAUAACCACCCUUGAUCCCGAUGUCCGCCUUUAUGAUGCCAGUAUAAUCGAUGAUCAACGCGUUGGUGAUCACCGUGUCGACACACUUAUCAUAAUGGGGCGGAUCGGAAGUUUCAUUCCGGUUUGGAU